rnacentral:rRNA from 1 species
UGGGGAAUAUUGGACAAUGGGCGCAAGCCUGAUCCAGCCAUGCCGCGUGAGUGAUGAAGGCCUUAGGGUUGUAAAGCUCUUUUGUCCGGGAAGAUAAUGACUGUACCGGAAGAAUAAGCCCCGGCUAACUUCGUGCC